GCUUCUGGCUGGAGGUCUCAUCCAUCUGGCCAGGGAUAGAAGGCACUUCGGUGCUGCUGAAGGCACUGUCGUGAGCAGGAGCAAAUACGUCUGCUUACCUAAAGGAAAAACAGCAAAUUGUUAAGACCUGCACGGACCCCUGUGUCUAUCACCCAGAGUUUCUCAGCCCUCCUGGGGCUCCAGCAAGGCGCUGACGGUAUCAUGGAGGAUUUGCAAAGCUGCAGAAGACUGGAGAAGAGGCAAACAUUAAAAGAAAGGAAAGAAAGAGCUGAUAUGGGACAGAUGGAAUUUAUUUAAAGGCUAAAUAAAAAGCUGCCUGUUGGACUGUGCUGGGGAGAAGAAACUCAGGUGUGAAGUAGCAGCCUACAGGGGUUAGCCAAGACACACUCCUGGAGGAUAAGGCAUGAAGGAACUGGAGUUGUCUUCCUGAUGAUAAAGAAAACUCUCAGGUCCAGCUGUCAUCUGGGGCCAGGGAUGCCUGCCUUCCCACUCCUGGCAUGCACAGCUCUGCCUGCUGGGUGAGUUUUCAGACAGAUCAGCUCCUCGGGCCAGUUCAUGGUGCAGCUGUAUGUUGGCUUGUGAUGGCAUGACAUGAAGACAGCACAAAAAUAGACUGAAGGCACAGAUGGGAGAGACUCCAUUCAAAGGAAAGUGCUCAUCCGACUACAGCCUGAAAGAGCUCUGAAGCUUUUCCUUCCUAACUGUUAACAAAAUCUCUGUCAGGCAAUGUCCACAGUGAUUGUAAGGCUUUGCACUGGGAUAGGUUUGCCCUUCUUCUAAAUAUCUGUCUUCACAUGCCAGCUUCCCCUCCCCACUGAACAUAUGCAAGAGGAGUGAUGUGACAAGACAAACAGGAUGGAUACUGGAAAGCUGGGUGAGACCCAUCACUGCAACCUCCUGCUGCCAAACGCAUCUUUGAAUAGUGGGGAUCAAGGUGUGAUCCAUGCAGAGAUCCCCAGCUUUGCAAAGUGGGCACCUGAGCAGCAUGCAGGGGAGCAAACAUGAUACAAAGUACUGUCUUAGGUACACUGGAAGAAAACUGAGAAAUCUUAAUAAAUUGUGUGAGAAAUGACAUCACUCUUCCUUGGAUCUGAGAGGCUGAUUUCAUCCCAAGCCAUAUAUUUCACAGGAAUCUUUUUGACCCCUAAGCUGAAGGACAUUUUUCAGCAAGCCACUUCCUUUGUGCAUUUCCCACUGCACAGUUGACGUGAAUAGACAUGGCACGUCACAGCCUGGAACCAUUUCCAGCCUCGGUGCAGGUCAGCGGCUGUGCCAUGUCUGCAGAGCAAUUUGGCACAUUUCUAGUUUAACCCAGAAUAUCAGAUCAGCUUCUUAAAAUGGUUUUCAGCACUCCCAGAAAAGCAGCUUGCUUCAGCUGAAAGAACAAGAAGAGACUGAAAAAGAUUCUUUUCUCCAAAUCCUGACCAUAAUGUGAGCAAGUAUUGAGAAACUGCAUGUGGGAGUUGUAAACCAAACAAAGAUCAGUCCUACAGGAAAACACAACCACAGAACAGGAAAGGCCUAUUUCAAGGUUAUUACCCAAAGUGAUUGUUGUCUGUGUGAGAGAGAACUGUGAUAUUUAGGAAUGUCCACUGCAUUGUGAAACAUUCUUCACUUUUGGGAAGAAACAUCUAUUUUGCUGAUUGGUGUAAUAAUCUAAUAAUCAGUGUUCUGGGUAACUAAUAAAUAAUGGUUCCUUCCAUCUAAAAGGAACACUUUGAGGCCAUAUUUCUUAAACCCACAUGCCCUUAAUUAAGGAAAAUUGGAACUAUUGGCCUUUUGGUGGAUUUGCACCUUGCCUUGCGGCCACAAUUCUGUAAUAUCUCAUUAGUGGAUUAUAUCACAUUUGGAGUGAAGUAGAGGCAACACUGUUUAUUUAAAAGUGCCUAUUAAAAGGAUUUAAAAAAUAACUGUGCUGUGGGCAAUACCUACAGAGUAGUUAUUACUUAGGAUCAUGCAGAUUACGCAAAGGAAUUUCUUUAAAUUCCAAAUUUACUUGGCUCCUAUCAGGACUGAAACCAUUCCAAUCUGGCAGAUAGAUAUCAAACACAGAUAAACUGCAAAUUCUGCCUGUACCGACUCACCUAUGCUGUGUCUUCUGAUAACAUGGAGUUAUUCUUUGACCCUGAAACUCUUCUCUUUCCUGCUUGCCUUUAUGUCUCUAGGGCUUGAUCUGCUGGAGACAGUAGAAG